CGGGGUGUAGCGCAGUUGGUCAGCGCGCAUGGUUUGGGACCAUGAGGUCGCCGGUUCGAAUCCGGCCACCCCGA
rnacentral:tRNA from 1 species